rnacentral:lncRNA from 1 species
UACAUCUUCAUCAAUUGUCACUAGAAGAACGGAUACAAAAGCUUAAUGCUAGGAGAUGAAAAUUAUUGAAAUGAAUAGCAAGUGAGCCUUCUCCACCUGAUUUUAUCUCUGUCUCCUUUUUCCCCUGCUUACUCUUGAGAGGGGAGUCCUGUCAAUUUUCAGGCAUCAACAGAAUCAGAAAUGAAUCAUCAAGGUACAGCUUUUCAUCUCUCCACCUGUACAACUCCCCCUGAUGUCACUGAGAGGAUGUUUGCGCAAGGGUGGUGGGAUCAUGCCUGCAGUGAUCUGAGAAUCAGUAGAUGGGAGUUGAUGGCUUUUUGAAGCUCCUCAGGGAAAGUUGUGGUCCCAUCUUAGCUACCCCAGCCUGUCCAUACCACCGCGGCAAAGGAAGCUGCUCCAGAAGAACCUCAUGCUACUGAUGUAAUGUAAACUCACAUUGGCAGACUGUGGGCUUUGCCUGUCUCUCAAAAUAAAGACAAAGCAAUUACAGACA